rnacentral:lncRNA from 1 species
GGAAAGGUCAUAUGAUCUUAUAAAGAGCAAUUAGAACAAGCUUAAGCUUGCUUCUCAGUAUUGAGAAACUCAAACCAAGCACAGAUAAGAGCCAUUAAGGUCUCCCAGCAAAACAAAGAUCAAGCGCCAUUUAGGUCUCAAAAACAAAGAUCAAGAGCCAUUUAGGUUUUUCCCAGCAAAACAAUGAUCAAGAACCAUUUGGGUUUUCUCCUAGCAAAACACAAGAUCAGGAGGUAUCCACCUGAAGGAUAUUUGUAAGUAGUUUUUUGAACCAAAGCUGUUAAAGGUGUUCAUACAAACCAGAUGGUAAGUUGGCACCUAAAGUGACCAGUGCAUCUGCUGAGUGGAAGAGUCAUAAGCCCUGGAGUGCUCGAGUUCCAUGUAUUGCCUUCCACUCUGUUGGGGCAACUCGCCCCCACCUGAGAACUGGCUAUUAAUAGGCUGUGAAAUUUGACCAAGACCAAGAUCAGGUGGCAUCUCCUGCGAACUGCUACUACCUUCAUUGCCCUUGAAAUCCCACGAGGUGCUUGGGAAGUGAUUGAUAGCUGCACUAUGAGGAGCUGUGGGUUGCGCCAUGGAUGCCCCUUCAGGAUUCAUGAAGCUGUUUGCUCCAAGACCAGAUGCUCGAUUCCUGGAGCUCCAUGGCUGAUUUGACAGAAGAGAGAGAGCACAGCUUGAGUCGGAGGCCCCUGUGAAACAUUCUCCUGAAGGAAUUCCAGGACCAUGAAAGCUGGUCCCGCCUGCUGAACCUUGCAGAAAGAGAGGAUUCUCAGAGUUGCUCUGCCAUGGAUGUGGAAGAAACCUUCCCAUCGCAGUGGUUUGAUUUCCAGGUACCCGAUCAGAUGCUCUUGUAGUUGGCCAAGUAUCCCUCUCGGGAUGCCUUGGGUAUGCAGCAAAGUCCAUCAGAAAGCCUCCUCCCACCCUGCUGCUGUUUUCUGUCAUUGUAAAUAUCAAAUACUAAAGUCAGAUAAUCAGAAUGUAAAGAAAAAACUCAAAACCAUACAUAUUGCAAUACAGUUUUAGACAAGUGGAG